UCCAUGCCAUUGUUUCCUCGUCGGUCGGGCCGGAGUACUACGUUAGCAUCCUGUCCUUUGUCGACAAGGAUCAGCUGGAACCGGGAUGUGCGAUCCUUAUGCAUACCAAGGUCAGUUUUUGAUCUAAAUGAUUAAUUAGGGUUUGAGGUUUGGACUGAUCAUUUGGGAUCGGCGAACACUUUUGGCGUAUGAGAUGGGGAUUGUCUUCUUCAUAGUUAUAGCAAAUUUUCUAGUGUUCGGGAUAGCUUACGAGUAUUUGGUCUUCAUGGUUAGUUUAAAAGAUGCUUUACUAAGUCCGGACGCUAGAAUGGUCAGGCUGUCUUUGGUGUGUUCAGUUUCCUAGUGUGCUAUCAAGGAACUGUGUGGAAGUUAUAAGCAGUAAAGAAUAUAUGAAUUGCAUUGGUCCCUGGCAACUAAUUGGUCUGUGUAUGCUUAGGGCAUCUUAUGCCAAUAUGUGAUAUCGGUGGCAAAUGGUGAUGAUGUGGUUGGUUUCACGGAAGGGAAUAAGUGUAGAUCUGAAAGCACAAGUGUAGUUGUGUCUUCAAUAGGGUGAAGAGGAC
rnacentral:lncRNA from 1 species